AUUGAACGCUGGCGGCAGGCCUAACACAUGCAAGUCGGACGGUAGCACAGAGGAGCUUGCUCCUUGGGUGACGAGUGGCGGACGGGUGAGUAAUGUCUGGGGAUCUGCCCGAUAGAGGGGGAUAACCACUGGAAACGGUGGCUAAUACCGCAUAACGUCACAAGACCAAAGAGGGGGACCUUCGGGCCUCUCACUAUCGGAUGAACCCAGAUGGGAUUAGCUAGUAGGCGGGGUAAUGGCCCACCUAGGCGACGAUCCCUAGCUGGUCUGAGAGGAUGACCAGCCACACUGGAACUGAGACACGGUCCAGACUCCUGCGGGAGGCAGCAGUGGGGAAUAUUGCACAAUGGGCGCAAGCCUGAUGCAGCCAUGCCGCGUGUAUGAAGAAGGCCUUCGGGUUGUAAAGUACUUUCAGCGGGGAGGAAGGCGGUGAGGUUAAUAACCUCGCCGAUUGACGUUACCCGCAGAAGAAGCACCGGCUAACUCCGUGCCAGCCGCCGCAGUAACAC
rnacentral:rRNA from 1 species